GGGAGCGACUUGGCUUCGACAGGAGUAAGUCUGCUUAGAUGGCAUGUCGCUUUGGGCAAAGCGUAAAAAGCCCAAAUAAAAUUAAACGCAAACAACGUUAAAUUAGCUCCUGCUUACGCUAAAGCUGCGUAAGUUCAGUUGAGCCUGAAAUUUAAGUCAUACUAUCUAGCUUAAUUUUCGGUCAUUUUUGAUAGUGUAGCCUUGCGUUUGACAAGCGUUGAGGUGAAAUAAAGUCUUAGCCUUGCUUUUGAGUUUUGGAAGAUGAGCGAAGUAGGGUGAAGUAGUCAUCUUUGCUAAGCAUGUAGAGAUCUUUGUGGGAUUAUUUUUGGACAGGGGUUCGAUUCCCCUCGCUUCCACCA
rnacentral:tmRNA from 1 species